UUACUAAACAAAAAUGAAAUAUGUCUCUCAGACAUUCAGGGUUGUCUCUGAGAUAUCUAAAAGAAUAUCCUUGGGAUAUCCAGAAACUAAAUAUAACAGACAUCUAAACGAUGUGAGAGAGAUACCAAUGUUUAACUUGGGAUAUCCCUUGGAUAACUGUGGUAGGUCUUAGAUAUCUGUCAAAUGUGUCUUAGAUAUGCAGCAGACAUCAAUAUCCAAAUAUCUGCUAGACAUCACACAGAUGCGACCCCUGGAUUUCUGUUGGAUAUUUCAUGGAUAUUCAGACGUCUUGGGGAUCUCUGAUGGAUAUGGCAAUAUCCAGUUUUUUUAUCCAAGAGAUCUCUAAGAUGUGUUGUGGAUAUUUGUGGCUGUGUGGAUUCAAGUGAAACACGCCAAAUCUUAAAAGUAGCCUAACUUAAGACGGGGAUUUUGUUACUCGUUUCACCCUCGAGCUUAUGAUGACGUAGGAUCUGUUUAUCCAAUGAGAUUGCUUAAAAAAAAUAACAAUUUAAUACUUAGAAAGCUACAAGCAAACUUUUUAUAUAGUAUAAGAUUACAUAUUACUUACACAUCCCAAAUAAACUUGAACAUCUCAAAACGUGUUUCUGCUGUUAAGGUUAUUUUGAAGCAUUGAAAAUGAGCUCCCAAAAACGACGAGCACCGAAUUUUUCUCAAGAAGAGAUUGUUUCGAUUAUCGAAGAAUUAGAAGGAAAACGUGAAUUGAUUUCGGGGCAAUUACGCCGCUGCUACAAAACAACGAAAGAUAUUAAAAACGCGUGGGGUGAGAUCGCUGGUGCUCUAAACAGCGUGAGUACCAGUGGUUACAUUCGUUCUGGGGAGGAAAUUAAAAAAAAAGUGGAAAGAUUUAAAAUCUUUCGCAAAAACAAAAGCUGCUAUGAUCCAACAGUACAAUAACGGCACAGGAGGAGGUCCUCCUAAUGGGGAGUUCUUAAAUGAUCUUGAAUUAAGAGUAAUUGUUCUGUUGGGGCAGACAACAAUACAAGGAGUCGGUUUCGACAGUGCUAGAGAAUUUUAAGCAAAGCCCGUGGAAAGAGCAUCAAUUGAUGUGGCUGGCACAUCUAGCGACUAUGAUAAUAAUGUAGACGGCAGUAGAGAGCAUGAUUUAGAAGAUGUAGAGAAUUUUUCUGAUUACCCUAAUAUACCUCUUUCAAACAGUUUUGAUUUAAAUCAGGAAAACUGGGCCCAAUCUAGAAUUAAAAGCAGCACUCCCAGAGUCAUCCAGCACCGGCAACGGAAAAGAAAGCUGCAGGAAGUGCAGGAUGAUGAGAUGUUAAAAAAAUGACAUAAAAUUUCAAUCGGAAAAUAACCAGCAGUUAGAAAGAAUAAACAAAUACUUGGAGAAAAUGCAAAAUGAACUGAAUCUCAAAAAUGUUUUACAACUAAAAAAGUUGCAGCUAUUAUGUAAGGUGUACACAACAUAGAUCAAGAUUCAUUGAAUUUAAGUGUUGAGAAAUAAUAA